rnacentral:rRNA from 1 species
GUGGGGAAUAUUGCACAAUGGGGGAAACCCUGAUGCAGCAACGCCGCGUGAACGAAGAAGGCCUUCGGGUCGUAAAGUUCUUUGAUUGGGGACGAUAAUGACGGUACCCAAAAAACAAGCCACGGCUAACUACGUGCCAGCAGCCGCGGUAAUACGUAGGUGGCGAGCGUUGUCCGGAUUUACUGGGCGUAAAGGAUGCGUAGGUGGAAAUUUAAGUGGGAUGUGAAAUCCCCGGGCUCAACCCGGGAACUGCAUUCCAAACUGGAUUUCUAGAGUGCAGGAGAGGAAAGCGGAAUUCCUAGUGUAGCGGUGAAAUGCGUAGAUAUUAGGAAGAACACCAGUGGCGAAGGCGGCUUUCUGGACUGUAACUGACACUGAGGCAUGAAAGCGUGGGGAGCAAACAGGAUUAGAAACCCUAGUAGUCC